rnacentral:tRNA from 1 species
UUUUUAGGGAGACCAACUGAUUGAUGAAGAGAAUAAAUAAUUAAAGCUUCAUCAAAUCGGACACCCUAGGUCGGUCAAGGAAAAAGUAGAUUGGCUUUCAAACUGGUUUCGGUUCGGAAAAUGGGCUAUUAGCUCAGGUGGUUAGAGCGCACCCCUGAUAAGGGUGAGGUCCCUGGUUCGAGUCCAGGAUGGCCCACCUGUUCCAGGAAGAGGGGGUAUAGCUCAGCUGGUAGAGCGCUGCCUUUGCAAGGCAGAUGUCAGCGGUUCGAGUCCGCUUACCUCCAUACUUCCCCAAGAAGGCAGCAGGUUAAGCCAAACACCCGAAAAAAGAAACCGCAAAAGAAACCGGAAAAAACGGAGCAUUCAGCACCUGUAGAAGUCAAAAGAACUUGCUCAGACUGCUGGACGUAAACGUUCAGUCAGAACCUUGAAAACUGCAUAGCGAGAGAAAAAGUCAAAGUCAGAUAGUAAUGCACAAUGCCAAAAAAGGCGUUUGUGUCUUACACAGACAAAAACCAAAAAUAGAU